ensembl:rRNA 5S_rRNA 5S ribosomal RNA
CCCAGAGAAGCCAUAUCACCCUGCAGCUCAAGACUGGUCUCCCACUGAAGCUAAGCAGGGUUGAGCCUGGUCAGUACCUGGAUGGGAGACCUCCUGGGAAAACUAGGUUGAUGCUGGAA